GGGAGAUGGUCAUGCAAUUUGAUCUAAAACCAAGAAGGAAAACCAACAAUAGAGCUAUAGUGACAAUGAUGUCAGCACAAAAGUUUCAACUUGCAUCUCUGCUCUUAGUUAUUUCUCUUCUUUUUUCUCAAUCAGCUGCAAACAGAUGUAUCUAUAAAGGUCCUUCUAAAACUGAUGACGACUGCAAGAAGAUAUGCACUGGCCCUGGGGAAGAUCCAUCUUUUUUGUUAUGCAUUACUGGCCCCCCAAUGAAUGGCAAAUGUUGUUGUAAACAUCCAAAUCAGAAAGAUAGUCUUGUUCUACCAUGAUACAUCCAUACGUUUGUAUCAUCACCUAUCAUAAAUUUAAAAUCAAUAAAAACUAAUGUUUGGAU